UCUGACCCCGUCUUCAGAGCUGAGCAGCAACGGAACCAAGCUCUUCAAAAUGCAGAGAAGCUCAAAGAAGCUUUCAAAGAUCAUAAAGCUACUGUUUCUGCUCGACUCCAGCAGGUGACAGAGAGUGAAAACAAGCUGAAGCAGAGCCUCGCUGAGUGUGAGCUGCAGCUGCAGACCCUGGAAAGGGAGCGAGCAGAACAGCGCCAGACCAUCAGCCGGCUGCAGGAGGAGGUGCAUCAAGUCAGAGCAACAGCGGCUGACCUCCAAGUCCGAUCUGAUGAAGCUGAGGAGAGGGCCUCCCAGCUGCAGCUGCAGCUGCAGACGCGAGGAGCAGAGUGCAGGGAGCUGGAAGAGCUGCGCAUUUUAACCCGCAACCAGGAGCAGAAGGUGGUCCAGAACCUCAGAGAGGCUCACCAGAGCCAGACGGAGCUGGCCAACCUGGAGGCCAUAGUAGCCUUGCUGCACCUUCGACAGGGUCCUGAGGGCCCUCUGUGCACCAACCCAUGCAUGCUGCCCCCUGUGGAGCACUCUGGAGCUGCACAUCUGCUGCACCUGAAACCAGGCGAAGGCUACCAGCAGCUGCUGCGAGUGCUGCAGCUAAAGGAAGCUGAGAGCAGGAAGCAGAUCAGCCUGAACAAGCAGCUGCAGGAGCGUCUGAGCAGAGCGCAGGAGGAGAUCUUCUCCCUGCAGAACUCCAUGAGCCAGAGAGCCUCUCACUACCAGAACCUCCACACUGAGCUGCUGGGCAAAGUCAGCCAAGCCACCGACACAGAGAAGGAGUUAAAGAGGAAGAGUGCACGAGUAGCUGCUCUGGAGAAACAGCUGCAGGAGAAGUCCUCUGCUUAUAGUCUGGCUGCACUGAAGAACACAGAGCUGGAAGGUCAGCUACAGGUAGGCUACACACACACACACACACACACACACACACACCACACACACACACACACACACCUGCACACAUACACGCACGUACGCGCGCAC
rnacentral:lncRNA from 1 species